GAUGAACGCUAGCGGCAGGCUUAAUACAUGCAAGUCGAGGGGCAGCAGGACUGUAGCAAUACAGUUGCUGGCGACCGGCAAACGGGUGCGGAACACGUACGCAACCUACCCAUAACUGAGGAAUAGCCCGGGAAACCCGGAUUAAUACUUCGUAACAUAAUGAGACGGCAUCGUUUAUUAUUAUAGCUCCGGCGGUUAUGGAUGGGCGUGCGCCUGAUUAGGUAGUUGGCGGAGUAAUAGCCCACCAAGCCUACGAUCAGUAACUGGUGUGAGAGCACGACCAGUCACACGGGCACUGAGACACGGGCCCGACUCCUACGGGAGGCAGCAGUAAGGAAUAUUGGUCAAUGGACGCAAGUCUGAACCAGCCAU
rnacentral:rRNA from 1 species